rnacentral:rRNA from 1 species
UACAGAGGUGGCAAGCGUUGUUCGGAAUUACUGGGCGUAAAGGGCGCGUAGGCGGCCCACUAAGUCAGACGUGAAAUCCCCCGGCUUAACCUGGGAACUGCGUCUGAUACUGGAGGGCUUGAGUAUGGGAGAGGGAUGUAGAAUUCCAGGUGUAGCGGUGAAAUGCGUAGAUAUCUGGAGGAAUACCGGUGGCGAAGGCGGCAAUCCUGGACCAUUACUGACGCUGAGGCGCGAAAGCUAGGGGAGCAACGGG